rnacentral:rRNA from 1 species
ACGGAGGGUGCAAGCGUUAUUCGGAAUUACUGGGCGUAAAGCGCGCGCAGGCGGUCUUGCAAGUCUGAUGUGAAAGCCCCGGGCUUAACCUGGGAAGUGCAUUGGAAACUGUGGGACUUGAGUACUGGAAAGGAUGGGGGAAUUCGCAGUGUAGAGGUGAAAUUCGUAGAGAUCGGGAGGAAUAUCGGUGGCGAAGGCAGCCAGCUGGGCGAUAACUGACGCUGAUGCGCGAAAGCGUGGGGAGCAAACAG